rnacentral:tRNA from 1 species
GGUGGGGUUACCGAGCGGCCAAAGGGAGCAGACUGUAAAUCUGCCGUCAUCGACUUCGAAGGUUCGAAUCCUUCCCCCACCACCA